GAUGAACGCUGGCGGCGUGCCUAAUACAUGCAAGUCGAGCGAACAGACGAGGAGCUUGCUCCUCUGACGUUAGCGGCGGACGGGUGAGUAACACGUGGAUAACCUACCUAUAAGACUGGGAUAACUUCGGGAAACCGGAGCUAAUACCGGAUAAUAUAUUGAACCGCAUGGUUCACUAGUGAAAGACGGUUUUGCUGUCACUUAUAGCUGGAUCCGCGCCGCAUUAGCUAGUUGGUAAGGUAACGGCUUACCCAGGCAACGAUGCGUAGCCGACCUGAGAGGGUGGUACGCCACACGGGCAGUGAGACACGGUCCAGACUCCUGCGGUAGGCCGCAGUAGGGAAUCUUCCGCAAGGGACGAAAGCCGGACGGAGCAACGCCGCGGGAGUGAUGAAGGUCUUCGGAUCGGAAAACGCUGUUAGUAGGGAAGAACAAAUGUGUAAGUAACUAUGCACGUCUUGACGGUACCGAAUCAGAAAGCCACGGCUAACUACGUG
rnacentral:rRNA from 1 species